CAGUCGCCACGGUAAUACGGAGGGUGCAAGCGUUAAUCGGAAUUACUGGGCGUAAAGCGCACGUAGGCGGAUAUUUAAGUCAGGGGUGAAAUCCCGCAGCUCAACUGCGGAACUGCCUUUGAUACUGGGUAUCUUGAGUAUGGAAGAGGUUAGUGGAAUUGCGAGUGUAGAGGUGAAAUUCGUAGAUAUUCGCAGGAACACCAGUGGCGAAGGCGGCCCCCUGGACAAAGACUGACGCUCAGGUGCGAAAGCGUGGGGAGCAAACAGGAUUAGAUACCCGCGUAGUCCCUGUCUCUUAUAC
rnacentral:rRNA from 1 species